rnacentral:rRNA from 1 species
GACUUCGGUCCUGGGGACAGCGGCGAACGGGUGAGUAACACGUGGGUAAUCUGCCCUCGAUUCUGGGAUAGCCCGGGGAAACCCGGAUUAAUACCGGAUAGCCUUCCAGGUUCUCGGACCGGGAAGAAAAGGUAGCUUCGGCCUCCGAUCGAGGAUGAGCCCGCGGUGGAUUAGCUUGUUGGCGGGGUAAUAGCCCACCAAGGCGACGAUCCAUAGCUGGUCUGAGAGGACGAUCAGCCACACUGGGACUGAGACACGGCCCAGACUCCUACGGGAGGCAGCAGUGGGGAAUCUUGCGCAAUGAGCGAAAGCCUGACGCAGCGACGCCGCGUGGGGGAAGAAGGCCUUCGGGUUGUAAACCUCUUUCAGGUGGGACGAAGCCACUCGGGUUAAUAGCCCAGAGGGUGACGGUACCACCAGAAGAAGCCCCGGCUAACUACGUGCCAGCAGCCGCGGUAAUACGUAGGGGGCAAGCGUUGUCCGGACUUAUUGGGCGUAAAGAGCGUGUAGGCGGCCAGGCAGGUCGGUUGUGAAAACUGGAGGCUCAACCUUCAGACGUCGACCGAAACCAUCUGGCUAGAGUCCGGAAGAGGAGAAUGGAAUUCCUGGUGUAGCGGUGAAAUGCGCAGAUAUCGCGAAGAACACCCGUGGCGAAAGCGGUUCUCUGGGACGGUACUGACGCUGAGACGCGAAAGCGCGGGGAGCGAACAGGAUUAUAUACCCUGGGAGUCCACGCCGUAUACGAUGGGUACUACGUGUGGGGGGUAUCGACUCCCCCCGUGCCGAAGCUAAUGCACUAAGCACCCGCCUGGGGAGUACGGCCGCACGCUAAAACUCAAAUGAAUUGACGGGG